rnacentral:sRNA from 1 species
GAGCUGGGAACCGCCUCCUGUGUGCUUCAUGGCCAUGGUCCUUUCUGCCUGUGUUUUUUCUUUUUUUCUCAACCGUCUCUUUUCUGGCUCCCUUAUUUCUCUGUCUGCCUCCCGGUCCCUCUUUUGCCUUGGGUGUUUCUCUCCUGCCGUCCCGUCCACACGCUUCCCGGGUUCCUGCCCGCCCAGGGCAUUGCCACAGGGAAGUACCACGCCGCGGUGCUCACCAACAGCGCUGAGUGGGAGGCCGCCUGUGUGAAGGCGGGCAGGAAGUGUGGGGACCUGGUGCACCCGCUGGUCUACUGCCCCGAGCUGCACUUCAGCGAGUUCACCUCAGCUGUGGCGGACAUGAAGAACUCAGUGGCGGACCGAGACAACAGCCCCAGCUCCUGUGCUGGCCUCUUCAUCGCCUCACACAUCGGCUUCGACUGGCCCGGAGUCUGGGUCCACCUGGACAUUGCUGCACCGGUGCAUGCCGUGAGUGUCCCCCCUCCCCACUGGCCCUGGCUGCUCCCGCCCUCUUGUCCAAACAGCACCCCUCUGGCUCUGGAGCUGCUGGCAGAGCUCAUCAGAAACUUCUGUCUGUGACCCAGCUUCCAGCCCACUGUCCCCACCACCCCCAGGUCUCAUCCUCCCUGGGAACAGAGUGGCUGCUGUGUACGACCCUUCCCCAGCCAGCCUGUCCUCCAUAGGGGAUCCUGGGCCCUGUCUCACCCAUCCCCACCCUGAGGAGCUCCCGGGGUGAAGGCAGAGCACACAGGGCCUUGCCCC